GCCUCCCAAAGUGCUGGAAUUACAGGCAUGUCUCACUUCUCCAAAAAAGUGCACGGUGGAGUGAGGGAGGACACAGAGCACUCAGGAGGGGCAGCAUCCCUGAGCCUUGGCCCCCUCAUCAGUGAGGGAAGUCAGGGGCUAAGACAGGGUCAUUCUCCAGCUGCCGAUAAGGGCUGUCCAGACUCCAAUGUGACCGUGCCAUUCCCGGAUGAUUUAGUCCACAUCUCAUACUGAAGCAGGAAAGGCGGUGAAACAGACCUCUCGAACAGCGAACUAGGAAGGAAGGGGUGAUUUAUUCGACCAGGAGCAAGGCAGCAUAGUUGCCUAACAGCCCAGCUCCAGCUCACAGAGAAAGUCCUUGCCCUUUUAAAGGCUUAACAGCUCUAGAAUUUACCUGUGAAAGGGUGUUGGGCAUGGAGUAGGCAUGGGGUAUAAUGGCUUAGGUGGGGGUUUGAUCUUGUUUAAGUAAAAACAAUGCCUUCUGGAAAGAUUCCUCCACACCAUGCCUGUGAUCUAUAGGAGGGUGAUUAAGGUGGCGCCCGGUCUGCCAGCCUUUACUUCUGCUAUUGAAAUGCAGUGUGGAAGUCACGGCGGGGAUGGUCUUAGAAUAGAUGCUUAAGGGUAAUUAAGGGUGUCCUCCCUCAAUACCAGAUUCCUGAGCUCUGGGUGACACAACCCUGUCACCUCCCAGAGUCAUGUUCGGUCAUCUUGGAGAUGACCGUGGUGAGUCUUCCUUCUGCUGCCUGCUCCACCCCCACGCCCCCCACCUCAUCCUCUUCUCCUGGUCUCUGCCUUUCCCUUGAGAUUCAGCUCAGCUGAAACCUUUUCCCAUCAUUCUUCCGGUUGGGUUAGGCGGCCCAUCUGUGCGUUUAUAACCUUAGCAUGCUUUUUAUCGUGCACUUAUUGAAGCAGUGUCAUUUGUCUGGGGUGAUACCUGGGGUUCAUUGUCUCACGCUGAGGAAAUCAAGGACGCAGACACACAAAAGAGUGAGGUUAAGAGUGGAGGUUUAGCCGGGCGCGGUGGCUCA